UCGGGAAUUUUGGGCAAUGGGCGAAAGCCUGACGCAGCAACGCCGCGUGAGUGAUGAAGGCCUUCGGUAUGUAAACUUCGAAAGAAUAGGAAGAAUAAAUGACGGUACUAUUUAUAAGGUCCGGCUAACUACGUGCCAGCAGCCGCGGUAAUACGUAGGGACCAAGCGUUGUUCGGAUUUACUGGGCGUAAAGGGCGCGUAGGCGGCAUGACAAGUCACUUGUGAAAUCUCUGGGCUUAACCCAGAACGGCCAAGUGAUACUGUCGCGCUAGAGUGCAGAAGGGGCAAUCGGAAUUCUUGGUGUAGCGGUGAAAUGCGUAGAUAUCAAGAGGAACACCUGAGGUGAAGACGGGUUGCUGGGCUGACACUGACGCUGAGGCGCGAAAGCCAGGGGAGCAAACGGGAUUAGAUACCCCCGUAGUCCCUGAGCGGGCUGGCAAGGCGCAU
rnacentral:rRNA from 1 species